GAGCACUGCCCGCCGGCUCCACUCCGGGAAAUUCCCCGGCAGCUCCCGGUAGGGAAUAAAAGCACGGGGGGGAAAGGGAGCCGUCCCGCCGGCUUCUGCACCCUCUCCGCCGCCAGCACCAGCCAUGAACCCGCACCUCCGCAUCCUCCUCCUCCUGGCCGCUGCCGCUCUAUGCCAGGAGCCACGACGAAGCAGGGACAUAUGGUCUGCCUGAACCCCUCCGCAGCCUGGGUCAAGCUCCUGGUCACCAGGAUCCUCCGCAGGUACCUGCCGGGCCAGCUGUGGCCAGCGCUUGGGGCCAAACUUAGCUUUUGGAGGGGCUUAAACCCAAGAAUUAUGAGCCACAUCCCGCUACUGAUUUCUGUAGGGAAUUCUGGUUAGUUAAGCCAAAAAUGUGUCCAGAAAGUGGCUUCUUUGCUGGGGAGGAGACAACCCAGCAGGUUUUCAGGGAGAGUAUCACAACAAAUGCUUGAUUAAUUGCAAAUCUAGCCACAGUACGUUCCAUCAUCCCCAUCAGGCAUCUUUUCCAAACCUCCUGUGGGAUUUAUUAAUUUAUUAUCUGGUGUAUGCAAGAAAACCUAUGGAAAAAUUUCCUGGCUGGCUUUACAAUUUGAAUUCUGCCCAUUGCAGCUCACCCAACAAGCUCUGAGGGAAGGAGUAUUUCGGAAUGAAGCUACCUGUUUGCCACCAGAUACCAGGAAACAGAUGCUAUGAGAACACAAUAGCUCAACUCUCUGGUUUUGAUGAGUUUGUAGAUCAGAUGUUCUGUGUUUCGUUCCCUCUCCUCAUGCUUGUUAUUUCCUAAUCCUAUGUACGGUUUUAUUGACUGAGAUUAAGUGAAUGAACCCAUUUGAUAAGGCAGUGGGAGCUUUGCUGGACACCUCUCAGCAACAUCUCACAACUUGCUCCUCCUUUGUGCAAGCUCCUUCUUGCCAAAUCCUAUUUGUCAAUAAGUUAUUUUAAAACUUAAGCAUUAAUAUCUGAGAAGAGGAUGGGCCCAUCGUGAAGAUGAAUUUGCAAAUGUCUGCAGAGAGUGUUUGAAUGGAUCAUGCCGAUGCUUGGGGGUAAUCCUUCUGUCAGGAAUAACAAGGGUGCUGUCUGGCUGGCACUUAACAUUUCAGUGCCUGUUCAGGAUCACAUGGGAAUAAAACCUGGUUCAAGAAAGAAUAUUUUGCCA
rnacentral:lncRNA from 1 species